UGCUGGAGAGAGCUCUCUAGGACUAGCUACCUCCCAGAGGCCUCAUCUCCCAAGACCAUCACCCAGGGGGGGAAGGACUUCGACACGUGAAUCUGAGCUUCAGUCUGAAACAGACUCCUCCUGUCACGCUCACUUGCUGAUCUGCUGAUGAUGAAUGGCGCAUGCAGUCUUGGCCUGGAGUAUCUUCACGAGAAUCUGCAUUAUGCAACGGGAAAUGCUAACAAUGACCCCACUUCCAAGGGCUUUGUCUUCUUCUUACCACAAAAGCUUUGUAUCCACUUGGGGAUAGGGACAAUGGGGAAAAACCCCUCAUGAAUAACAGGGUCAAUUUUCCACCAUGUAGGGCAUAAUUGUAGCUAACUGAAAUAAAUUAGAAAUGGAUCA